UACGUAGGGUGCAAGCGUUGUCCGGAAUUAUUGGGCGUAAAGGGCUCGUAGGCGGUCCAUCGCGUCGGGAGUGAAAAGCUGGGGCUCAACCCCAGUCCUGCUUUCGAUACGGGUGGACUAGAGGUAGGCAGGGGAGAACGGAAUUCCUGGUGUAGCGGUGAAAUGCGUAGAUAUCUGGAGGAACACCGGUGGCGAAGGCGGCAUCCUGGACCAACACUGACGCUGAGGAGCGAAAGCCAGGGGAGCAAACGGG
rnacentral:rRNA from 1 species